rnacentral:rRNA from 1 species
GGGCUGCAGUAUUUUGACUGUACAAAGGUAGCAUAAUCAAUAGUCUCUUAAUUGGUGACUUGUAUGAAAGAUUGGAUGAGAUAUAAACUGUCUCUAAUUGAUUUAUAAAAAUUAAUUUUUUAGUAAAAAAGCUAAAAUAAUUUUAAAAGACGAGAAGACCCUAUAGAGUUUAAUAUUUUAUUUAGUAAUUAUUAAUAUAUGUAAUUUUAAAAAUUAAAAUUAAAUGAAAUAUUUUGUUGGGGUGAUAAAAAAAUUAAAUUAACUUUUUUUAAUUAUAAACAUUAAUUUAUGGUUAAAUGAUCCAUUUAUAGUGAUUAGAAGAAAAAAUUACCUUAGGGAUAACAGCGUAAUUUUUUUUUUUAGUUCAAAUAGGAAAAAAAGUUUGCGACCUCGAUGUUGGAUUAA